UACGAAGGGGGCUAGCGUUGUUCGGAAUUACUGGGCGUAAAGCGCACGUAGGCGGAUAUUUAAGUCAGGGGUGAAAUCCCAGAGCUCAACUCUGGAACUGCCUUUGAUACUGGGUAUCUUGAGUAUGGAAGAGGUGAGUGGAAUUCCGAGUGUAGAGGUGAAAUUCGUAGAUAUUAGGAAGAACACCAGUGGCGAAGGCGGCUCACUGGUCCGGUACUGACGCUGAGGUGCGAAAGCGUGGGGAGCAAACAGG
rnacentral:rRNA from 1 species